rnacentral:rRNA from 1 species
UUAAGCUAAGAAGAGCGUAGGGAGAAUGCCUUGGCAUUAGGAGCCGAUGAAGGACGUGAUAAGCUGCGAUAAGCUGCGGGGAUCAGCAAGUAUGAAUUGAUCCGCAGAUUUCCGAAUGGAGCAAUCCGUAUGUGUAUGCACAUACAUCAUAUACUGAAUCAAAUAGGUAUAUGAGGGGAACCGCCUGAACUGAAACAUCUAAGUAGGGCGAGGAAGAGAAAUCAACCGAGAUUCUGUGAGUAGUGGCGAGCGAAAGCGGAAGAGGCUAAACCAUAGGUAGCAAUACUUAUGGGGUUUCGGACAGCAUUUAGCAUUGAUAAUUUCUAGUUGAAACGUGUGGGAAAACGUACCGAAGAGUGUGAGAGUCACGUAAGCGAAAGAGAGAGUCAGCGAGCUGUAUCCAAAGUACCGCGGGACACGUGAAACCCCGUGGGAAGAUGGGGGGACCAUCCUCCAAGCCUAAAUACUACCUAAUGACCGAUAGCGAAUAGUACUGUGAAGGAACGGUGAAAAGAACCCCGGGAGGGGAGUGAAAAAGAACCUGAAACCCUAUGCUUACAAGCACCGAGAGCACGUCAAAGUGUGAUCGGGUACCUUUUGUAGAAUGGUCCGGCGAGUUAUUGUAUGCGGCAAGGUUAAGUGCUUAAGGCACGGAGCCGAAGCGAGAGCAAGUCUGAAUAGGGCGAAAAAGUCGUAUGCAAUAGACCCGAAACCGAGUGACCUAUCCAUGUCCAGGCUGAAGUGGAGGUAAAACUCCAUGGAGGGCCGAACACACGUCCGUUGAAAAGGCCGGUGAUGAGGUGUGGAUAGCGGAGAAAUUCCAAUCGAACUCGGAUAUAGCUGGUUCUCUCCGAAAUAGCUUUAGGGCUAGCCUCGUGAAAGAUUACUGGAGGUAAAGCACUGAAUGGGCUAGGGGUCGAAAGAUUACUGAACCCUAUCAAACUAAGAAUGCCAGAUAAUUGAUUCACGGGAGUCAGACAAUGUGAGAUAAGUCUCAUUGUCAAAAGGGAAACAGCCCAGACCCACAGCUAAGGUCCCUAAACAUUGUUAAGUGGAAAAGGAUGUGGGGUUGCAUAAACAACCAGGAUGUUGGCUUAGAAGCAGCCACUCAUUAAAAGAGUGCGUAAUAGCUCACUGGUCGAGUGACCCUGCGCCGAAAAUUCAACGGGGCUAAACAAUGUACCGAAGCUUGGGAUUCUAGAUUUAUCUAGAGUGGUAGGAGAGCGUCGAAUAAGGGGUGAAGUCAGAGCGGAAGCGCUGGUGGACUUUAUUCGAGUGAGAAUGCCGGAAUGAGUAGCGAGAAUUAUGUGAGAAUCAUAAUGGCCGAAAAUCUAAGGUUUCCUGAGGAAGGUUCGUCCGCUCAGGGUAAGCCGGGGGCUAAGGCGAGGCGGAGACGCGUAGCCGAUGCACAUACGGUUGAAAUUCCGUAGCCACCGAAAGAUUUAAGUACAGGGACGCUUUAGAAGUGAUGUAGCCGGGCGAUGGUUGACCCGGUCGUAAGGGAUCGAAAAUGAGUAGAGAAGUCAUCAUGGAAAGAGACAAGAAAAGCUGUAUGAAUAUCUUAGGUGCCCGUACCGCAAACCGACACAGGUAGAUAGGAAGAAGAUUCUAAGGCCAACGGGAGAAGGGUUGUUAAGGAACUCGGCAAGUUGACCCCGUAACUUAGGGAUAAGGGGUGCUCAAGUGAUUGAGCCGCAGAGAAUAGGCCCAGGCGACUGUUUAGCAAAAACACAGGUCUCUGCUAAAUCGAAAGAUGACGUAUAGGGGCUGACACCUGCCCGGUGCCGGAAGGUUAAGAGGAGAUGUGAGAGCAUUGAAUUGAAGCCCCGGUAAACGGCGGCCGUAACUAUAACGGUCCUAAGGUAGCGAAAUUCCUUGUCAGGUAAGUUCUGACCCGCACGAAAGG